GGCACGGGUUUAUCCCUUGUUUUGAUUUAGUAAUCGUUUAAUUAAUAAUCUGUAAAAGUCACACUAGGUGCCUCGUCACGCGUUCCGUAAGUGGUAUCGCAUUUCCAAACAGAACGGAUCUAUUGUGCAAUUCAAUAAUUCGAUCGAUUUCGCAAGCACUCGUGGUUUAAUAGAAAGAAAUUGUCUGUCGUUUUUAUCGAAGGAAGGAAAGGUCCUUUUGUGUCAACUCUCGCCAGAUCCGGCAACAAUCUUCACGGUCAAAUACGACAUUUAAUAAAGGAGGCGUUCCAUGAAAGAAA